rnacentral:rRNA from 1 species
GCUUACGGCCACACUGCCUGUUCACGCCCGAUCUCGUUUGAUCUCGGAAGCUAAGAUAGGGUUGGGCCUGGUUAAUACUUGGAUGGGAGACCCCUGGGAAUACCAGGUGCUGUAAGCU